ACAACCCUCAACUCUCGUGACCACCCCUCCUAAAUAAAACACUUCUCUCCGUUUUAUCAAAAUUGAGAACAAGAUAACUUCUCUCUGUUUUAUCAAUUGAGAACGAGACAAAUUGCAGUUACAAGAAUACACGCACGUAGCUAGCUUUGAGCUAUCAAAGAUCUGCAAAGAAUCACAAGUUGGCUUCUUCUUUACAACCUAGGGUUUUAUUUUCCUUCUUGUCAAGGCUGACAUGAAUCCAUCAAAAUCUCAGAAGUUUGAAAUGGUAUCAACUUCGAAGACUGUUAAGCAUGCAUACGUUCCACUUGGUGCCUUAGCAAGGGGACGAGGGAAAAGCUUCAGAGCUUUUGGUUCUGUAAGAGUAAACGCUGAACAGAGAAUUUCGAUUGGCAAAAAUAAAAAUUAUAUUGUAGUAGCUUCUGAUCAGAAUAAGCUAGCUCAGAAGGAUAGUAUUGGGCCUCCUGGUUUUGAUCCAAUACUGGAAUGUGAUGCUUCCCUCCCUGAUGAAGAAGCGAUGGAAGGCACUCGGAGAAGCGAAAUAAGUCCAUAUGAAUUUGAAAAGGCCAAAAAAGUAAGAGUAAACGCUGAACAUAGAACUUCGAUUCGCAAAAAUAAAAACUAUAAUGCAGUAGCUUCUAAUCAGAAUAAGCUAGCUCAGAAGGAUAGUCUUGGGCCUCCUGGUUUUGAUCCAAUAUUGGAAUUUGAUGCUUCCUUCCCUAAUGAAGAAGCGAUGCAAGGCACUCAGAGAAGCAAAACAAGUCCAUAUGAAUAUGAAAGGCCAAAAAAGUAAGAGUAAACGUUGAACAGAGAACUUCGAUUGGCAAAAAUAAAAACUAUAAUGCAGUAACUUCUAAUCAGAAUAAGCUAGCUCAGAAGGAUAGUCUUGGGCCUCCUAGUUUUGAUCCAAUAUUGGAAUGUGAUGCUUCCUUCCCUAAUGAAGAAGCGAUGCAAGGCACUCAGAGAAGCGAAAUAAGGUCACAUGAAUCUGAAAAGGCCAAAAAAGUGAGGAAAAAACAGGUGUAAAAAAGUUGCAGGACUCGAAGCAGGAGAAAAGUUGAGAGUCACUUUUUACCACAAUCGAGUUGUUGGGAAGCAUCAUGCCUUAUUUACGAGACACUUAGGUGUAUUAGUUCGUGAUCGUAAUAUGUGCCCAUUGCGCAUACACUCAUGGACGGAAAUCGAAGAAUAUAAGCUGGAGCACAUGUGGCAAGCUAUUAAUGACAAAUUUGAUAGUGAUAACAUAAAUGAUCAACAAGAUCAUGUCUUGAAACAUAUGUGAAAGUUAUGGAAUAAUUGGAGAGGAUCGAUGCACAAGAACAUAUAGUAUAAGCCAUUCCGCGAUGCUUUAAGAGAUGUGCCAGAGGGGGUAGACAAGAGUGAUUGGGAAUGGCUGGUCAAAGAGCAUUUUUUAACUGAAAAAUUUAAGGAAACAAGUACAAGAAACUCGAUCAAUAGGUCUAAGUUGACUAUGCCUCAUCGUACGGGUAGUAAGCCUAUUCGAGAGAUCAUUUAUGAAUUGGGAGGCAAAGACGGAAACCCCCCAGAUAUGGCAACUAUCUUUUUUGAGACUCGUAAGAAGGACGACAAGCUUGUCGAACCUGAAACCAAUGAAAAAUAUGCAAAAAUCCAAGAACUUGUGCAAUCUGAAUCGUCUCUUACAAACAUUGAGGUCGUAGAAAGGUGCUUCGGACCUCAACGCAAGAGUCAUGUAGUUGGAUUUGGUGGUGGAAUUACUGCUAAGGAGUUAAAAGGUGGUAACUCCUCAAAAGCUGCAUUGUUGGAAAAGCUGAGUGCUACUGAAAAAGAAAAUGAAUAACUAAAAGGACGCAUGGAAGGGCUAGAGAGUAAAUGCGAAGUUCUAAAGAGUAAAUAUACACAACUUGCAAGUGCAGUGUUUAAACAGGCUUCAUCAUCAUCUUCAAGUGAACAAUAGAUUGAAGCAUUUAACAGAUCAAAAACUUGGAAGUCUGAAGAACCUAUUGUUGAAGAAAGUGCACAUCAAGUUGAAGAACAAGAGAAUUUUGUUAUGUUAGGGAUGGUUUGAAGGCACUGUCUUAUGUACAUAUGCUGCAAUUUUUUUUCUCUUUUUAGGAAUUGUUAAAAAUGAUGUUAUAGUAUUUGGAUUGCUUUCUGGUAAUGUGAUGAUGUUAUACUAUUUGAAUUUCUUUCUGCUAAUGUGAUGCUUAGAUCUUUGUAUUAA